ACCCCUUCUCCGUACACCUACACCUUUAACACCACACAAAGCUUUUGGUUAGCAAGAUUCGUUUCUGAUUUCACAAUUUGCUCGAGAGUCGAGACGGAUCGAUUUGGUUUUAGAAGUGAUUUCCUAAUUCCUAUCCUCGUCCACCAGUUUCUAGGUUUUGGUUCUUCUUCGGUUUCUGUUCUGUAUGAUACUACUGUUCUCAGUUCUACACGAUCUUUUCAUACAUUUCCCAUAGCAGAGAUUUAGCAGAGAUUCUUAUCCUUUUAUUUAAAUUUUCCUAAAUCGGUGAGACAAUUCAGAGGAGUGAAGCGAAAUUUUAUUUUAAUCCUGUUUAUUUCCUCCUUAAUUUUACUGAAUAUCGAGCUAAAUGAAUAAACAAUGUUGUUUACUCUUUGAAAUAAUUUACUUUUUCAACUCAGUGAUCAGAUCGUGUUCUCCUUUCAUCUGUUUCAUCAAAUUUUUAUUAAAAAUUGAGCUAAGAUUUGCAUUUGUCUGUUGGAAAGGAUUUUGUGUGGAUGACUUCUAGCAUCCGAUGCGUCGGUUCAUAGUUGAAUCUGUAGUUGCAGUAUUUGCAAUAGAAUUAGGAUUUUAUGAUGGAAAAGUGUCAGCUAGAGAGAAAUCUGGGGUUGAAUUGGCAAAGGAGAAAAUCUUAAUGAGGAAAGAGGAAUGAAAUUGUUCCAAACUUAGAAGAACAGUAAUCAAAGCUGUCUGGAAGUAGCUUAGACUGGCCUUUUGAUCUGGCUGGUGAUUGGAGGUGAGGCUUCUGGCUCAGGAGCUGCACUUGAUGCUUCCAUCUGAGGGCUGCAUGCUGGGCUUGUGGAAGAGACGAUUUCUCCUUGGGCACAUUGUCAAGAUCAACCAAGCUAUUUCAUGGAGGACUAUGUUAUCUUGAAAAAGGGUUGUCAUUUUUCUAGAUUAUGGUCAGUCGAAAUUGGUGUUCCAUGCACUUGAAGAGCUUGCAAUUAUGUUAUGCAAAAUGCUCCACACAUUCGCUGUGCUCUACCUCCUGUCACACGGUGUUUUACUUGGUUUGAAGUAGUGUACUACUGGAAGGUUUGAAAGUUUAUGAUCUGGCUGCUGGGUCUGGGAUAUUGCGACGCUCAUGACAGUAUACACAGCUCAAAAGGCAACUGAUGUUUUCACCACUGUUACAAAAGAAUGUCAUGGAUGGAAAUUAAGAGGUGCAGUUGUAUAAAUGGAUGAUUCACAUCUAAAUAUUGGAUUAGCUUGCAUUGCUGCAGUGGCUGGUGCAGCAGUCCUUAACCAUGCAGAAGUAUUCUCUCUCUCUCUCUAUCGCCAUAAGGAUGAGAACUCAGGCCAUAUUAGUGGUGCUCACGUUCGAGAUAUUCUGAUUUCUGACAGGAGGAAAAUCUGGGAAAUAGGUUCGCUCAUGGCUAACCUUAUCUCAAGGCAGAAGUGGCCUACUGCUCUAGGAAUGAGUACCAUGAAAUUGCAAUUGAUAUUCAUUGCAUGGAGGACAGGCUUGACUUUCUUGAGAUACUUGCAGCUGAGCAUGGAUGGACAAGACGGGGCAGGACCUGACUACUGAGAGCGCACCAUGACUCUGAAGCCUUCCUCCACACUUUCAGAGCUGGCAUUCCAUGAUAAAUUUUCCAUCUUGAAUGAGGCUUAUCUUGGUAUAGCAACUUGGACAUAAAACUUGAGAUAACAGUCAGAUAAGGGUAGGAUUAGAACAAAAGGCUUGUAAACAGGCAAUAUUCUGAGAGUGCAUGGAACAUUUUUAACUGAUAUACAAGCUGAAGGAUGAUACCAUGAAGAAAACAUAAAUCAGCACGAGGAAAAGCAGAACAAAUUUCAGAGUUUUUCUUGCACUAUUGAUGAAAUAUAAAUUAUCGUCAUGUUUUAUUUUACUGUUUUGGUCGUAGUUGUCAAAGCGUUGUCUAGGCAUAAAGGCGACAGCACGCGUUGCUGACACUGUAUGAGUUUACAUUGAUUUAUGUUUAUUACUUUGUUUUUCAAUGAAUAUGCUUAUGC